AACGAACGCUGGCGGCAUGCCUAACACAUGCAAGUCGAACGAACCCUUCGGGGUUAGUGGCGCACGGGUGCGUAACGCGUGGGGAUCUGCCCUUUGCUUCGGAAUAACAGUUAGAAAUGACUGCUAAUACCGGAUGAUGUCGAAAGACCAAAGAUUUAUCGGCAAAGGAUGAACCCGCGUAGGAUUAGCUAGUUGGUGGGGUAAAGGCCUACCAAGGCGACGAUCCUUAGCUGGUCUGAGAGGAUGAUCAGCCACACUGGGACUGAGACACGGCCCAGACUCCUACGGGAGGCAGCAGUGGGGAAUAUUGGACAAUGGGCGAAAGCCUGAUCCAGCAAUGCCGCGUGAGUGAUGAAGGCCUUAGGGUUGUAAAGCUCUUUUACCAGGGAUGAUAAUGACAGUACCUGGAGAAUGAGCUCCGGCUAACUCCGUGCCAGCCGCCGCGGUAAGAC
rnacentral:rRNA from 1 species